CGCGCAGGCGGUUAUACAAGUAGGAUGUGAAAGCCUGGGGCUCAACCUCAGAACUGCAUUCUAAACUGUGUGACUAGAGUAUUGCAGGGGGAGACGGAAUUCCAGGUGUAGCGGUGGAAUGCGUAGAUAUCUGGAAGAACACCAAAGGCGAAGGCAGUCUCCUGGGCAAAUACUGACGCUCAUAUGCGAAAGCUGGUAGCAAACA
rnacentral:rRNA from 1 species